AUACGUAGGGGGCGAGCGUUGUCCGGAAUGAUUGGGCGUAAAGGGCGCGUAGGCGGCCCGGUAAGUCUGGAGUGAAAGUCCUGUUUUUAAGAUGGGAAUUGCUUUGGAUACUGUCGGGCUUGAGUGCAGGAGAGGUAAGUGGAAUUCCCAGUGUAGCGGUGAAAUGCGUAGAGAUUGGGAGGAACACCAGUGGCGAAGGCGACGUACUGGACUGUAACUGACGCUGAGGCGAGAAAGUGUGGGGAGCAAACAGGAUUAGAUACCCUGGUAGUCCACACUGUAAACGAUGAAUGCUAGGUGUAGGGGGUAUCGACCCCUUCUGUGCCGCAGUCAACACAAUAAGCAUUCCGCCUGGGGAGUACGGCCGCAAGGUUGAAACUCAAAUGAAUUGACGGGG
rnacentral:rRNA from 1 species